CCUACGGGAGGCAGCAGUGAGGAAUAUUGGUCAAUGGUCGGGAGACUGAACCAGCCAAGCCGCGUGAGGGAGGAAGGUACAGAGUAUCGUAAACCUCUUUUGUCAGGGAACAAAGGCGGGGACGUGUCCCCGGAUGAGUGUACCUGAAGAAAAAGCAUCGGCUAACUCCGUGCCAGCAGCCGCGGUAAUACGGAGGAUGCGAGCGUUAUCCGGAGUGAUUGGGUUUAGAGGGUGCGCAGGCGGUCUGUUAAGUCAGCGGUCAAAGCCCGGGGCUCAACCCCGGCCCGCCGUUGAAACUGGCAGUCUCGAGUUGGAGAGAAGUAUGCGGAAUGCGCGGUGUAGCGGUGAAAUGCAUAGAUAUCGCGCAGAACUCCGAUUGCGAAGGCAGCAUGCCGGCUCCACACUGACGCUGAGGCACGAAAGCGUGGGUAUCGAACAGGAUUAGAUACCCGGGUAGUC
rnacentral:rRNA from 1 species